UACGUAGGGGGCAAGCGUUAUCCGGAAUUACUGGGUGUAAAGGGAGCGUAGACGGUAAUGUAAGUCUGGAGUGAAAGGCGGGGGCCCAACCCUCGGACUGCUCUGGAAACUAUGUUACUAGAGUGCAGGAGAGGUAAGCGGAAUUCCUAGUGUAGCGGUGAAAUGCGUAGAUAUUAGGAGGAACACCAGUGGCGAAGGCGGCUUACUGGACUGUAACUGACGUUGAGGCUCGAAAGCGUGGGGAGCAAACAGG
rnacentral:rRNA from 1 species